rnacentral:lncRNA from 1 species
AUGACAAAAAGGAGCAUGCUCACACCAGUGCAGUGGAGCAGUCAGGAUGCGAGUGAUGGGAAGGGUUCAGCCAGCAAAACCCUGCAGGUCUUAACAGUUCAGGCAUGUAGUGCCGGAGCUCCUUGUUCAGCUCCCAGCGUGUCAGCCAAAAUAGCAGCGGCCGCAUACCGUUGGGGAGAGGGACAAGUGUUGCUGAGAAUUAAAAUGACAGAUCCCAGUAUCAAGGUCUCGGAGGGUUUGUGCUUUAUUAAGCAACAGUGAGUUCAUGGGAAAGGACUUUCACCCGGAGCACUGGUUGUGUCUACAAGAAAAGAAAAGGGGGGCUAUAUUUAGGUUCAGCCGUGUGACAGGGAGGCGCUGCGGGGAGGUGAGCUGGGCAUCCUUGUACCCCGCAGCAUCCUCGUACACCCUGCAGCCUCCUUGUCCCUUUGGCACAAGGGGAUCACAGCCCUGAGUGGGAGCUGAUGCUUGCACCCAGCCGUGCACAGCUUAGAAACAUCCUCUGAGAGAAGGAAAUCCUGGUGCUCCCGUGGCAGGAUGCUGGGCACAUUGGGCAGGUAGCGGUGGGCUGUGGGCAGCGCAUCCCUGCUCCACAGCUCCAUUUCCUUGCUGGCUGUGGCUCUGCGUGGUCGUGGUGCUUUGAUUCCUGCCCAUGGUCCCUCACGCGUUUCCCUCCCAGGUUUGAUUUUUCCCUAAGAUGAGGUUUCACGAUGAUGGGGUUUAUUUUAAUAGAUUGCUGGUUUUUAUCUCUGCCUUAGGAUCUCCCUCUGCGUGCCACCCCCUUCUAUUAAAAAUUCAUAAUUUCUCUCAGAUACCAUUGCUAGAGGGGGAUAGGGAAGAAUAAAGAUGGUUCAUGAGAAGGAGGGAAAAAAAUU